rfam:Pseudomonas taeanensis MS-3 contig_12, whole genome shotgun sequence.
CUCGCUGUGCGACCAGCGAUAGCCUAACAAGACAUGCAUCACUGGUAACGGUGGGGUGUGAAGCUCUUGUGACAAUGUAGCCCCUUGAUGGUGUGUAAUCGCUGCGAAGUGAAGCACAGAUGCUCGGAGCCGUACCGGGUUGAGGCG